UCUGUAAGUUUUCUGAGAUUGUCUCAUCUAAAACUCCUUCUUCUACUUCUCAUCUUUGAAAGAAUUUAAAUCAAGAAGAAGGAGGCAUCUGAUCGACCAUCGAAGAAGGAUCAGCACAGUACUAGCAUACUGUGCUAAUUUUCUGGAUCAGGACCUCUGAUCAUGAUUUGAGGGCUCGAGUGGAUGACUCCUAGAGGCCGGAUGCAUGUGCGGCUUGCAACAUCAUCCUCAAGCCUGGAUCAGUAAAGUU
rnacentral:lncRNA from 1 species